rnacentral:sRNA from 1 species
GGAAGGGAGUCGGAGACACAACAAAGAUGGCGGCGGCGACUGCGACGGUGACGAAGACGGCGGCGGCGGCGACGGCGUUGAACAAGGCGGUGUGGUUUACUCGAUGCAGUUGUCAGGAGACCUCUGUAUGGCUUUUCAAUUUUAGUUGAAAUUCUCUCUCCAUGGCCUUUUGGAGUCCCUUGCUGUAUCUCCAGAGUAAAUUUCAAUUACUCUACAUUUCAUCAAUGUUGGAGUGGCAAGAAAAAGGAGGAACAGAUUUGGGGUGAAAAGUUUUGUUUUCUAGGUAUAACAAACUGUAAAUGUUAAAAAAGCAAAGAUGGGUGAAAAAAAACCAGAGCCUUUGGACUUCGUGAAAGAUUUUCAGGAAUACCUGACUCAGCAGACCCAUCAUGUGAACAUGAUUUCUGGAUCAGUUAGUGGGGACAAAGAAGCAGAGGCUCUUCAGGGAGGUAGACUCAUUUUAAUAAUACUAAAUAAUUCACUUUUUAUACACGUACUAUGAUUGUGUGUAGCCGUUACUGUGAAGACCACUGUGCGUUAAUGUGAAUCAUUCUGUUUUUUCUGGAAAGAUACAGGGCAUUUUUUCCCCUUUUUUAAACAUAUCAGACUUCUGCUGGAGAGUACUUAACAUGGUCUGGAGAUGCAUUAUGGUCUUGUUGGAAGGUUAGGGGCUCCAAAUACCCUUCCUGUCCUCCAAUUUUUAUGAGCUAGCAU